CAUGUUGAGGAACUAGUAAGUCUGACUACCUUUCUACUUCUCUUGUGUUUUUAUACAAUAGAACAUGAGCUUUCAAGCGAGCUUUAAACAAAAGGAGACAAGAUGAGACAGUCAAGGUUGGAACUUGGUUAUGACCGAGGUCAUAACAAUGAUGGAUCACAUACAGGGAAUCAAUUAUAUUGCGAGGAGGUGCAUGAGCUCAACUGUUUCCUCAUACCAGCAGAACAACACCUGUUCCGUGCAUCUGAUUAUGGAUUGAUGAAGAUAGACAGCAGAGGCCAAGUUGUCCAAUUUUAUUAACAAACCCAAGGGAGAUGACUUGGAAUCUAUGGUGACAAAGCCUUUAUAUUAUGUAGUUAUGUUUUCUUUGUUUAUACAACUGAAAAGAAUGAAGACUAAAUCAUUUUGAUGUCCGCUUUUCUACAGCAAGUGGACUCCCAAAUCCUUGGAUUAUCUCAAAAGAUGCAUCAAGUAACCCUUACAUUGUAUCCAUGGGAGUUUGUGUUUAAGACAGAUGUUCUACUUAAA